AUUGAACGCUGGCGGCAGGCCUAACACAUGCAAGUCGAACGGUAACAGGAAGCAGCUUGCUGCUUCGCUGACGAGUGGCGGACGGGUGUGUAAUGUCUGGGAAACUGCCUGAUGGAGGGGGAUAACUACUGGAAACGGUAGCUAAUACCGCAUAACGUCGCAAGACCAAAGAGGGGGACCUUAGGGCCUCUUGCCAUCGGAUGUGCCCAGAUGGGAUUAGCUAGUAGGUGGGGUAACGGCUCACCUAGGCGACGAUCCCUAGCUGGUCUGAGAGGAUGACCAGCCACACUGGAACUGAGACACGGUCCAGACUCCUACGGGAGGCAGCAGUGGGGAAUAUUGCACAAUGGGCGCAAGCCUGAUGCAGCCAUGCCGCGUGUAUGAAGAAGGCCUUCGGGUUGUAAAGUACUUUCAGCGGGGAGGAAGGGAGUAAAGUUAAUACCUUUGCUCAUUGACGUUACCCGCAGAAGAAGCACCGGCUAACUCCGUG
rnacentral:rRNA from 1 species